rnacentral:misc_RNA from 1 species
GGCAAGAGUUUUUGUUGGAUGUGGUUUGGUAUUGAAAUGCAGUGUAGUUGUGAAUUGAUUAUUUCUGUUUGCUGUCGUUUAGCUGGUUUUGGACUGCCACAUAAUCUGGUGCAUUUUUUGUCUACUGUUUUGCUAUAUUUUCUGAUGUUUAGUUAGUGGCUUGUACUUCAAUCUUACAUGUUGCUUGGGCUUUGACUUGUGCUUUGCGAA